UACGGGGGGAGCAAGCGUUGUUCGGAUUUACUGGGCGUAAAGGGUCCGUAGGUGGUUGUGUAAGUCUGGUGUGAAAUCUUCGCCGCUUAACGGGAAGAAGCCACUGGAAACUGCGCAACUUGAGUAUGGUAGAGGCAAGCGGAAUUCCUGGUGUAGCGGUGGAAUGUGUAGAUAUCAGGAAGAACAUCUGUGGCGAAGGCGGCUUGCUGGGCCAUCACUGACACUGAGGGACGAAAGCGUGGGGAGCAAACGGG
rnacentral:rRNA from 1 species